CUGCUCUUUCGUGGUGGCAGUAAACAGGACUUUCUGCCCAUGCAGAGACUGCAGAAAAGCGAGCAUAACAACUCGGACCAAAAGUCACGCAAGGGGUGCCUUUGCGUGGAAGUGAUAGUGAUGAGGCGACAGGCCUGGAGGCAAUCAGACCCUUUCAGUCAGCGCACAUCACGAGGUCCAUUUGUCCUCUUGGCUGCUUCUUCAAAGCAUCGAGCCAACCUACUGCAAUUGUAAGCUGCGCUUCUGGCUGUUUAUCAUUUAUCACACAUUAGCAGGUUGGACGUGUACUGUCCGUGUAAUGAAAAGCAGGCCCGAAGUCGGAACAAAACUUUUUCUCAAGAUGAGGAUUUAAAUAAACCCUUCCGUGUUUUUGUUGGUGCUUUGAAUCCACUUUUGUGUGUGUGUGUGUGUGUGUGCGUGUGUUAUGGAUGAACAGAUGAAGAAGCCACUUUGGAAUUCAUCAACGAUAUCUGUCUCCUCUGUGCACCCUUGGAAAAUGGAAGUUUCUUCGUUGGCCAGAAGAUGGCGCAGCAGCAGCAUCUCGCCGAGGGAGGCCUAAACGGAUGAAGCUAAAUUCCUCAAUGAAGUGGAGGCGCGCAAGGAAAUCGUCUUUUGGCACGCUGUCCUCCGGCGUUGACAACAAGCUAAAGAGGAGUUAAUGGGCCAGCACAUGUGCGGCUGUCAAUGCCGUGGUGUUGGAACUAAAAAAGAAGGUAGAAGUGAAGUGGAGGACAGCUGCCCACCGCCAAUGUGUGCCCAGGACAGGUGGA